CGAGUUACAAUUAUACCAUCGUCAUUAUCAAUAUAGUUAUCUGUUUAUCUCAUCGUCAUCUCCCAGCGAAGAGCCCUAUUUCCAAUCCAGUUUGAUUGGAUUCCACAAAUUUCUAAUUUGAAGAGACCUUAUCCGGCGAAGAUAUCGAUGAUUGGUGUUAUCCCAGUUUCCUCUUAUCAUACAACGAUAGAUAAAUGCUUUGUGCGCAUUUCCGAUUGGAUUUGGUGAUUUUGUCCAAUUAGUCGGAAAUUUCUUAUAAUCUCUUUGGCGAUAAUUUUCAACAAAUGUAAAAAGAAGCUAAGUCGCUGCAGAAACCCUGGGCUGCAAGUGAGAUUCAAUAUGGCCAGAACAAAGGGAAGCUUUACAAUGGAGAGUGCGACGAAUUCAUGAUCUGACUGAGCAAAAAACUUGGGUGUGGGAACUGGGAUGACCUCCUUUUUCAUGUUUUAACUGGUUUGUGAAAUCCCGCACGAGUCAGGAACUAGCUAGAAGAUGCAACACUCUGAUUCGGCUGAUUGAAAAGGAGAUUCAAGAGUUAAAUGGGAGAGAGAAAUGAGUGUAAGAAGAUGUCGGCUUUAUCACACUGGAAUGAGCAUUACUAUUCUUGGUUUUGGUCCAGUGCCAUAGAUGGACUCAGCUACAAUCAGUUGCACAAGUUUUGGAGUGUUUUGUUGCCCAAAACUAGACAGGAGCCCCUCAAGGAUUGUCAAGCAUGCUCUGUUUGAGCAAGCUCGCAAGAACAUGUGCAGUUCCAGAUACAACAGCCUACUGCUUGAAAGCUUCUCGCAGAUUGUUUCAUAUGGGAAGUCCUUCCAACGAAAAGGAUCCACAAGAAGUCUUGCAUUGCAGCAGAUAAGUAGCCUCAAAAGAUUAAAGUAACUGUAACUCAGUUGUUAGUAACAGAUGUAUAGGUUAGUUUCAGGACCCUGCUGUUCUUCAGUGGGGAGGUCUCAGAACAUUUCACGAUGGAUCACUCUGAUACGUCCAUAGUAUCAGCGAGCUUAAGAAAGAGAAGAGUGAUAGUGGAAGUAAAUACUCUUUGACUAAUGAUGACGUGGCAAGGGAAGGAAGAGACUGGAUUGGAGACAGAGGCUUUGCUGUUAAUCUCAUCUUCUUUAAAUACGAUAGUUAUAUUGUUCUACGGUUUUAUGCAUCUUCUGUUGUAAAACAUUGGGGUUGUUGAGCUGGGCUCUUCAAUGGCGUUUUCUGAUAUCAAGUUGUCGUGAUUGAUUGCUUGAUUCUCAGUGUAACCGAACCUCUGGUGCUUUUCGUUUACAAUCUCUAUCAAAGUAUCUCGGUUUGGUGUUUA